rnacentral:SRP_RNA from 1 species
GACGGCUCCCCGUGCGGCGUCAUCUUGUGAACUCCCCCAGGGCCGGAAGGCAGCAAGGGUAAGCGAGCUCUGGCGGGUGCACGGGGAGUCCUUCGUU